rnacentral:rRNA from 1 species
AAUUGGAGGGCAAGUCUGGUGCCAGCAGCCGCGGUAAUUCCAGCUCCAAUAGCGUAUAUUAAAGUUGUUGCAGUUAAAAAGCUCGUAGUUGAAUUUUGGGAUCAAUAUUUCGGUCAUGCCGUUGGUAUGCACUGUUAUCAUUGAUUUCUCACCUUCUAAAGAACCGUAAUGCCAUUAAUUUGGUGUUACGGGGAAUUAGGACUGUUACCUUGAAAAAAUUAGAGUGUUUAAAGCAGGCUCACGCUUGAAUACAUUAGCAUGGAAUAAUGAAAUAGGACAUCCGAUUCUAUUUUGUUGGUUUCUAGGAUCGAUGUAAUGAUUAAUAGGGAUAGUUGGGGGCAUUAGUAUUCAAUUGUCAGAGGUGAAAUUCUUGGAUUUAUUGAAGACUAACUACUGCGAAAGCAUUUGCCAAGGAUGUUUUCAUUAAUCAAGAACGAAAGUUAGGGGAUCGAAGACGAUCAGAUACCGUCGUAGUCUUAACCAUAAACUAUGCCGACUAGGGAUCGGAUGAUGUUAAUUUUUUAAUGACUCAUUCGGCGCCUUACGGGAAACCAAAGUGU